GACGAACGCUGGCGGCGUGCUUAACACAUGCAAGUCGAACGAAGUGGCGAACGGGUGAGUAACGCGUAAUAAACCUGCCCUUAAGAGGGGGACAACAGUUGGAAACGACGGAAAAUACCGCAUACUGAAGGAGGGGAUUGCGGUUGAGUGGCUGGUUGGAGGGGUGACGGCCCACCAAGCCGAUGAGCAGUAGCCGGUCGGCAAGAAUGAGCGGCCACAGGGGGACGUCGGCACGGCCCACGCUCCUACGGUAGGCAGCAGUGGGGAAUAUUGGACGAUGGGCGAAAGCCUGAUCCAGCCAUGCCGCGUGUGUGAAGAAGGUCUUCGGAUUGUAAAGCACUUUAAGUUAGGAGGCGUUACCAUCAGGAUGAGCACCGGCUGACUUCGUGCCAGCAGCCGCGGUAAUAC
rnacentral:rRNA from 1 species